rnacentral:rRNA from 1 species
UACGUAGGGUGCGAGCGUUAAUCGGAAUUACUGGGCGUAAAGCGUGCGCAGGCGGCUUUGCAAGACAGAUGUGAAAUCCCCGGGCUCAACCUGGGAACUGCAUUUGUGACUGCACGGCUAGAGUACGGUAGAGGGGGAUGGAAUUCCGCGUGUAGCAGUGAAAUGCGUAGAUAUGCGGAGGAACACCAAUGGCGAAGGCAAUCCCCUGGACCUGUACUGACGCUCAUGCACGAAAGCGUGGGGAGCAAACAGG